rnacentral:rRNA from 1 species
GCCUAAUACAUGCAAGUCGAGCGAACGGACGAGAAGCUUGCUUCUCUGAUGUUAGCGGCGGACGGGUGAGUAACACGUGGAUAACCUACCUAUAAGACUGGGAUAACUUCGGGAAACCGGAGCUAGUACCGGAUAAUAUUUUGAACCGCAUGGUUCAAAAGUGAAAGACGGUCUUGCUGUCACUUAUAGAUGGAUCCGCGCUGCAUUAGCUAGUUGGUAAGGUAACGGCUUACCAAGGCAACGAUGCAUAGCCGACCUGACAGGGUGAUCGGCCACACUGGAACUGAGACACGGUCCAGACUCCUACGGGAGGCAGCAGUAGGGAAUCUUCCGCAAUGGGCGAAAGCCUGACGGAGCAACGCCGCGUGAGUGAUGAAGGUCUUCGGAUCGUAAAACUCUGUUAUUAGGGAAGAACAUAUGUGUAAGUAACUGUGCACAUCUUGACGGUACCUAAUCAGAAAGCCACGGCUAACUACGUGCCAGCAGCCGCGGUAAUACGUAGGUGGCAAGCGUUAUCCGGAAUUAUUGGGCGUAAAGCGCGCGUAGGCGGUUUUUUAAGUCUGAUGUGAAAGCCCACGGCUCAACCGUGGAGGGUCAUUGGAAACUGGAAAACUUGAGUGCAGAAGAGGAAAGUGGAAUUCCAUGUGUAGCGGUGAAAUGCGCAGAGAUAUGGAGGAACACCAGUGGCGAAGGCGACUUUCUGGUCUGUAACUGACGCUGAUGUGCGAA